rnacentral:tRNA from 1 species
GCCGAAGUGGCGGAACCGGCAGACGCGUCGGAUUCAAAAUCCGAUUCCCGCAAGGGAGUGAGGGUUCGAGUCCCUCCUUCGGCA